rnacentral:rRNA from 1 species
AUACGAAGGGGGCUAGCGUUGCGCGGAAUUACUGGGCGUAAAGGGAGCGUAGGCGGACUGUUUAGUCAGAGGUGAAAGCCCAGGGCUCAACCUUGGAAUUGCCUUUGAUACUGGCAGUCUUGAGUACGGAAGAGGUAUGUGGAACUCCGAGUGUAGAGGUGAAAUUCGUAGAUAUUCGGAAGAACACCAGUGGCGAAGGCGACAUACUGGUCCGUUACUGACGCUGAGGCUCGAAAGCGUGGGGAGCAAACAGGAUUAGAUACCCUUGUAGUCC